GGGCCUUUAGCUCAGCUGGUUAGAGCAAACGACUCAUAAUCGAUCGGUCGCAGGCUCGAGUCCUGCUAGACCCACCA
rnacentral:tRNA from 1 species